AUCUUUUUUUCGUUUCUGAGAUGAGAGGUGGGGCGCUCGUCUCUCCGGGCUCCGGCGACGGCCGUGCCAGGCAGCAGCGGCUGCGCGGGCCGAGCAGCCGGAGUGUCGGCCCCAUCCCGUUGUGUUUAGUCAGUCACCGUAUCGUGGGCCCGUGACCGGGAGCGACCAAACAGGAAUCGCAAUCCUCCUGAUUUGGGUCCGACCUAACCGUCGCCACUCGCUCGCUCCAAACCCUAGCUAGCUACCUACCUCGCGCCGCCGUCUCCGGCGCCCUCGGCCCUUCCGCUGCGUCAAACCGCCGGUGGCUGCGCGAGGUUCCCCUCCCCAGCGUGGCGCUCUUCAGCAUCGCCGCCCACCCCGAGGGCGCCGGCCUCCGCAACGUCUUCAGCUCAUCCCGGACAGUGAGGUGAGUAGUCCCCAACAGCGGGCGCCGUACCAGAUGGUGGCUGCUUUGGGGGCGAGCUCCGAGUGCCUGCUCAUAGGUGAAAAAUACUCGGGGAUCAGUGUUGCUGUUUCUCCAAGGUGGAAUCAUCAUAUAUCCUCCUUUGUUAGUUUCUGUUAUGCUUCUGAGUUGUAUGACUAGAUCAUUAGUAACAGAUUCUGUAAGUUGUUCUGUAUGCAAGAUGGUGGCAGAGUGAGUAUGAUCUUUCAGAUUUUGCCUCUUGCAUACAAGAUGGAUCUGGCAUUCUGGCUUAAUCUUUGAUAUCUGUUGUUGUUGGUUCUUUUCGAAAUGCAACUUCAGUAUCACACAAUGCACUAAGACCUGAUGGACCACCGUCCUGGUCCUUUCAAAAUUGUGAUGGUGGAUCAGACAGGAAGUUGCUCUGCAUUGGAAAAAGGAAGAAGCAAGAGCUAGGGUGCCCUCUCCUCUCCUGCUUGGCGUGUUAAAUGGAGUUGCAGGUCUCACUUGAAUGAAACAUUGGUUUGAUAUUCAUAUCUCAUUGUCGGGUUCAUUGACUACAAGCUCUCUGCCUCUCAUUGCACCUGCUGAUUAUGGUCUUGCAAGUUUAAAAUGCAUGCUGGCUUGCUGAGUAAUAGUGCAGUGAAAUGAAUUCCUUGAGAUUAUAUGUUCUGGAAUUAGUAUUGUAAUUCUUAUGUGACCAGGAUAAAUAGUUCUUCAACCUAUGAUGUAAGAGCCCUUCUGGUUAUAGUAAACACGAUUCAGUAAAAAUAGUGGCCCUUCAUUCCUGAAGUUUUCUCUGGAUGCAGGUGCUAGAUAUACUCUAAUUGAUACGUAGUGCAUAUUUAUUUUAGAAUCCGAAGAUAGUUGUUGUGGCACGCUUCAUGUCUGCAAGUUUACUAGAGGCAGUAAGAUUACCUUAUUGUCACCACAACGGAAGUGAAUCCUCGCCAACAGAUCUGACACCUCCUGUUUGGUAGUAGAAUAGCCUUAUUGUCAUAGGCUUAGCGAGCUGGACGUGUCCAUUCAAUCAUUUUCAUUUUAUUAUACAUGCAAUUAUCUAUUCCUGGUUACAGAAGAAACUGAUCAAAUUGAUGAUUUCGACAGCAGCAAUUUCUUGAAGUGAUGGAUGCAUGGCAUAGUUACUACUACUAUUUAUAAAAUCAUUCACUACGAUAUACUGUUCAUAAUAAUUUUGUCCUAAUACGCUGGGCUGAAUGCACCUACUUUCACUCUUUAUAACAAGGGUGGUCUGAAGUCUCUACUUGACUACUCGAUGCAAGUUUCGGUUACUGUUUACAAUCAUUCAGUGAUAUUACAAUAUCCCCGUUCAUAAGGAUUUUGUCCUAAUACUCUUGACUGAAUGCAGCUGCUUUUGCUCUUUACAGCGAACAACCAACAUCGCAAUUUACAAAUCUCUACUUGACUACUCAGAUAGGAUGUCUCAAGUUAAUGCACCUGAAACAUCUGAUUGAUGAAUUAUGAGGAUGAUCCUAUUGUACACAUCUUACUUGGAUGGAAUUGACGUUCGUGACGCACAUCGGAGCUUAUAGAAGAAGACAGCAGCCAGCAGGGCUGGGUGCAAUGCAAUCAUGCAAGCUAAAGUUAUGUUAUGGAUUAUGGGAGUGAUAUGAAUGCCCGGCAACUAUCUCUGGUUGGGAAGUUGUGAGUUUGUAUAUCACCAAUGUUAUAUGUGCCACACCAUCAUUAUUUAUGAAAUUGGCAUCUUUCCUAUUUAGAGAAGUUGUGCUAUUUCCGCAAAAUAGAUUAUGUUCAACUAUGUAUUUAUCAAAGGCAGUAAGCUUCACUUUCUCCCUAAGGCAUCCCUUCCCAAAGCAGAGCCAAAUUUAUCUGACAUGUAAUGCAAUCAGAUUGUGGUGUUGCUUACAUUUCAGCUUGUAGCUGAGGACUGAAAUAGGCUGAGAAUGGAAAGUGGGUUAAUUAAAUACGCCAAGACUGCAACUGUUAUCUAUGGAUGAAAUAACCAAACCAACUCGCAAGAAAACAGUCUCCAUGGUCUGAAUGUCCAAACAGCGAACGCAUAUAUGCUUUGCUCUCAUGGGCAGGGCUUCAGGAGACAGGGGCCUCGAUGCGCUGAAGAGAGGGGCUGAGCUGCUGAGGACCGAUUCUGUGGAUCUGAUGAGAGUCCUUGGAGAUGCUACUGGCGACAACCCUGCGGUAACAAAGUGAAGGUUUUGCUGUUGCUGCAUUUGGCUCGGUGUUUGGGUCUUGGGGGAUGUCUUUUGCGAUCAUCCUGGUUACCUUUCCGUAUGUAAUGAAGUGGUUGUGAUACUGUGAUUCCAGCUAUGCCUUUUCCCUUUCCAGUUAUACUGUGAUUAGAGCUUUGACAUAAAUAGGGGGCUGGUAUGAUCUCCUUGCUCUCGUGGUGUUGUUGUCGAGCCUGAGGGCCUGACCUUCUUUCUAUUUUUGGGUUAUGUAUGAGGUGGAGUUUUGAAGUUUCCUGUAGUGACUUGUUCAGUUCUGUGAUCGUUAGCAUGCGUGCUUCGAUGGAAAAAAAAAACAUGCGUAGAUGUUGGCUGGGGUGAAUAUGUGUCGUGAUUAUUUUUAUUAAUUUGAGAAAUUGGAAUUCAA